rnacentral:rRNA from 1 species
GACGAACGCUGGCGGCGUGCUUAACACAUGCAAGUCGAACGGAAAGGCCCCCUUGUGGGGUACUCGAGUGGCGAACGGGUGAGUAACACGUGAGUAACCUACCCUUGACUUUGGGAUAACUUCAGGAAACUGGGGCUAAUACCGGCUAGGAGCUCCUGCUGCAUGGUGGGGGUUGGAAAGUUUCGGCGGUUGGGGAUGGACUCGCGGCUUAUCAGCUUGUUGGUGGGGUAGUGGCUCACCAAGGCUUUGACGGGUAGCCGGCCUGAGAGGGUGACCGGCCACAGUGGGACUGAGAUACGGCCCAGACUCCUACGGGAGGCAGCAGUGGGGAAUAUUGCACAAUGGGCGGAAGCCUGAUGCAGCAACGCCGCGUGCGGGAUGACGGCCUUCGGGUUGUAAACCGCUUUCGCCUGUGACGAAGCGUGAGUGACGGUAAUGGGUAAAGAAGCACCGGCUAACUACGUG